rnacentral:tRNA from 1 species
AGGGGUAGAGCUCAGUGGUAGAGCACCUGCUUAGUGUGCAUGAGGCCCUAGGUUCAAAAAUAGUGUCUUCC